CUCAAGAUGAUCUUGGCUUUGUCAUCGCCCUUAGGUGAAGUUCAGUUCCUUGGCCCGAGCUUCAGCACCUCCUCGCUCAGUCUCCAGUACAGUUCUCUCCGUUCCCCACCAGCACAUGCCCCUCCUGUCUUGCUGAGCUUUGUUCUUCACCUAUGCGGGGCUACUCUCAGCUCCUGCCAUGGAACCCCCCUUUCCUCCCUCUGCUUUACCCCAUAGCCCUGUGCUUUGGAUUGUUGCUUCUAGGAAGUAUUUUCAAAUCUGGAUUUAUAGCCCUUGCUGUGUGGACCUGCAGUGCCCAGUAUUUGCCCAAUUGUGACAUUUAUGAAGCAGCUUUUUAAUCGCUUGCUUACUUGUCUCUUUCCUCUAAUAGACUGUGAGUUCUGUGGUGACAGAAACCAAGUGUAACCUGUUUACCAUUUGAUUCCCAGCACCUGGCAUAGUGCCUGAAAUGUAGUAGGUAUUUAUUGAUACUUAGAUCCAUAGAUAUGUGAAGUACUUAUUCCUAUGUCGAACACAUAAUACUCAAUAAAUGAUGGUAGUUUUUAUUGUUUACCGCCAUAUACAACAGCUGCAACUAUUAUUCUAUCCAUUUUUUUUACUAACUCUCUAAGAAGCAAUGAGAUCAAAAGCUGGUUUAUAGUGAUGUGAAGAGCAACUUCAAGGAGAGGAAUUGGAGACCAAGCAAAGAUGAAUUUGUUAAAAUGGUUGACUGAAAAAAUACCUUCAUUGAAAAGGUGGUAGUCAGAGAAUCAGUAAAGUCAAAGGAAGGUAUUUGUCAAUGAUGAAGGAAUACUGGACAUGUACAUGGGUUGAAGAAGCGAGUCCAACCUGAAGAUACAGGUGUGGAGUUGGAUCAGUUCUCCAAGCAGGAGGAUUGAUCUUGCACCUGAGGAAAGAAGGCAUCUUACAUAAUAAGGGGAAAAUCGAAGGGAUGGGGUUGCUGGAAUAUGUGCAGGGGUCUGGGAGGAAAAUGAAGGCAAUGCUGAGGGUAAUACAAGCAUGUUUAAUUCUGUUGUGUGAAAGGUAUCUUUUAAGCAAACCAAUUACCCUCUUUUUCUCUUUCAGCUGUUCGGGGGUCUUGUCUGGAUUUUGGUUGCCUCCUCCAAUGUUCCUCUACCUCUACUACAAGGAUGGGUCAUGUUUGUGUCCGUGACAGCGUUUUUCUUUUCGCUCCUCUUUCUGGGCAUGUUCCUCUCUGGCAUGGUGGCUCAAAUUGAUGCUAACUGGAACUUCCUGGAUUUUGCCUACCAUUUUACAGUAUUUGUCUUCUAUUUUGGAGCCUUUUUAUUGGAAGCAGCAGCCACAUCCCUGCAUGAUUUGCAUUGCAAUACAACCAUAACCGGGCAGCCACUCCUGAGUGAUAACCAGUAUAACAUAAACGUAGCAGCCUCAAUUUUUGCCUUUAUGACGACAGCUUGUUAUGGUUGCAGUUUGGGUCUGGCUUUACGAAGAUGGCGACCGUAACACUCCUUAGAAACUGGCAGUCGUAUGUUAGUUUCACUUGUCUACUUUAUAUGUCUGAUCAAUUUGGAUACCAUUUUGUCCAGAUGCAAAAACAUUCCAAAAGUAAUGUGUUUAGUAGAGAGAGACUCUAAGCUCAAGUUCUGGUUUAUUUCAUGGAUGGAAUGUUAAUUUUAUUAUGAUAUUAAAGAAAUGGCCUUUUAUUUUACAUCUCUCCCCUUUUUCCCUUUCCCCCUUUAUUUUCCUCCUUUUCUUUCUGAAAGUUUCCUUUUAUGUCCAUAAAAUAC
rnacentral:lncRNA from 1 species